UGCUUUUUCUCUUUUCCAUCUUUUUUAUUGUCUCUUUUUCCCGGAAGACAAGUACUGUUAUCGUCCCUCUCGAGAAAGACUAUUACUUUUGAACGAAGAUCUUCUCUUGCAGCCUUCAUGCGGGUUUUCUUUUUUUCCUUCUCUCUUUUUGAUUUUAUUUUCAUCAGCUGUUUCCGGUUUACCUUGAUGUCAUAGCUUAGCCUUCUAAUGCAUUUAUGAUCUC
rnacentral:lncRNA from 1 species